UUCCUUUCUUCCCUUUAUAAACACAUUCGCCACUCACUCUUCUCAUCAUCACUUAUUCUCUCUCAAAAUUCGCUUCUUUCAUUCUCUUUUCGAUUCAUUCUUUUGUUAUGUCUUUUGUGUUUCUGUUAUUCUUUUUAUUCCAUGCGUCAAAAUACUGAUUACCACUGCCCUAAUUCCCGUGGGCUUUGAGUAUGAGCUGACGCCAUAGCAAUUCCUUUCUGCAAUCUUUUUUGAACUGUUUUCCUUUCAAUCCAGUUACUAUUGCAGACUGGAUGAUCGAAGGUGAACAUACUGUGCGAAUUUGUUUCUCUUUGGAGAAAUCAAGCCUAAUAGUCUGAUCCAUCUUUCCAAGCCUAUUAGAAUUAUAAGUUGUAGGUAUCUGAAUUAUUUAUGGCUUUUUAUAUCCGUAUUGUCAACAUAUUCGUUUGGUCUGAAUUCUUGUAGUAUAAGUGUCAUUAUUUUAUGGAAUUGAUGAUUAUUUCCCCAGAUGAUCGAAUCUGAACAUACUGUGCGAAUUUAUUUCUCUUUAGAGAAAUCAAGCCUAAUAAUCUGAUCUAUAUUUUUGUCCUUAAAAUGUCUAUUCAAAAGUCCUUGCAUUUAAAGUUAGGUUCAUGUAGUAUUUUAGACACAUUCCUCUUCUGUAUUAAUUUUUCUGUUUUUUUUGCAUUCUGAUUUUCAUGAUGGAUGUGAUGAUUAUUUCCCCAGAUGAUCGAAGGUGAACAUACUGUGCGAAUUUUGUUUUCCCUUUGGGGAAAAUCAAGCCAAAUAAUCUGAUCCAUCUUUUGUAUGCAUUUUUAUCUUUAUGGUUUGUAUGAUGCUAGUUGUUUUUAUUCUUAAAUGUUGGAGAAUUAAGCAAGGGUAUAAGAUUCUAAUUUUUUUUAGCAAUGACUAUAUCCUAUUGCUUUUGAGAAUGAUCUCCUAAUAUUAAAUAACAGAUGUUUAAUGCUUGCACUACUUUCGGUGUGGAUAGCAAGUUUGGCUUGUCUUUUACAUUUAUCAUCGAAUUUAUUCUCAUUCGAAUAAAACUUAAUUACAAAAUUACUUCCAACAACACAUGCUUAAUGAUUUUUGUUUCAAAUUUGUUACGGUUGAUCAUCAAUUUCAUUAUUGUGAUUGCUGCAAAAUCAGUUGUUUAAAUCAGCACCGACGGUUGUUCAGUUUUGCAUGAGUCUAGCUUGUGCCGUUUCUUCGUCAUUCUUAAGUUCCACCAGUCAGGCCCUCCUUGAACAACAGAGAUGCUGAAGAACCGGCACAAACUUGACUUGUGCAAAGACACUGCCAAUGUUUCCAUGUUAUUGAAGACUUCUCGAUCUCGCAUUGGACAACAGGACACUUUGAAUAUCAUAGUUUGUUUUUAGGAAUUAUAAUGAUUGUAGUGUAUUAAUUUCAAUUAUGAAUAAAAUUUUAAUUUUUUUAUU